AGGACGAACGCUGGCGGCGCGCCUAAAACAUGCAAGUCGAACGAGAAGCCCGGGCUUGCCCGGGUGGACAGUGGCGAACGGGUGAGUAACACGUGAGGAACCUGCCCCGAAGACCGGGACAACACCGGGAAACCGGUGCUAAUACCGGAUACCUUCACCGGAUCGCAUGGUCUGGUGAAGAAAUGGAUUCCGCUUCGGGAUGGCCUCGCGGCCUAUCAGCUAGUUGGUGAGGUAACGGCUCACCAAGGCGACGACGGGUAGCUGGUCUGAGAGGAUGUCCAGCCACACUGGGACUGAGACACGGCCCAGACUCCUACGGGAGGCAGCAGUGGGGAAUAUUGCGCAAUGGGCGAAAGCCUGACGCAGCGACGCCGCGUGGGGAUGAAGGCCUUCGGUUGUAACCCUUUCAGCAGGACGAAGCGAAAGUGACGGUACCUGCAGAAGAAGCGCCGGCUAACUACGUGCCAGCAGCCGC
rnacentral:rRNA from 1 species